GGCCCUGCUCUGGAUUUCCCCUGUGACUUCAGGCAAGUCAGGGCCCCUUUGCCCACCUUGGACGACAGGUGGUGGGCAGGAUGGCUCCUGCGGUCCCCAGGCUGCCUCCAUCAUCCAGUUUCCAGUGGAGUUCCACAGCUCCCCGAAAGCACUGCUCAUUCCCAGGCUCCCGUGACCCCNCCAGUGGAGUUCCACAGCUCCCCGAAAGCCCUGAGUACUGAGCAGUGCUCAUUCCCAGGCUCCCGUGACCCUCUCCCUCCAGCCGAUGAAAAUUCAGCGAGCCACCCAUGGUCAUGCAGCAGGCUAUUGGCAGGGCGUUUGGGCUGCCAGGAGGAGCAGGAACACAGUGCUUCUGUGGUCACCAUAGGUGACCUGAGUCAUUGCAGUCAGGUAAGUCAUGGGGAAGCAUCUAGUCCAGUAGAUGCUUAAUCACUGCUACUUCUUUGAACACCAGACCCUAAGCUGAGAAGCCACGGGUCGCCCACAGUCUCUUUCCUCAAGGAGCUUAGAGCCUGGGAAGAGCAAGAGAUGGACACAGAAACAUUCUCGGCCUCAGUAGGGGUAAGAGGCAGCCCAGGGACUGGUGGGGGUACCCAGAAGAAGAUGGGCUUGAACUCCUGCUGUCGGGCAGUCUUGGUGCUUGGUGGUGAACUUGGCGUGAAAGGUAUUUUAAGGAAGGCUUCACUCAGGAGGUGACAUUUGCACUGGUCUUUGGUAGCUCUGCAGGAGUUUUCUGGGGUUUUUUUUGUUUGUUUGUUUUUUGUUGUUUGCCUUUUAGGGCCGCACCCAAGGCAUAUGGAGGUUCCCAGGUUAGGGGUCCAACCGGAGCUACAGCUGCCAGCCUACGCUACAGCCACAGCAAACGCAGGAUCCGAGCCAUGUUUGCGACCGGAACCAUAGCUCACAGCAAAGCCAGAUAAAGAUCCUUGACCCGUGGAGCGAGGCCAGGGAUCGAACCCGCAACCUCUUGGUUACUAGUCUGAUUCGUUUCCACUGCGCCAUGAGGGGAACGUCUCUGCAGGAAUUUUCUAAGCCGAGAGGUCAGAGACGGGUAUUUUAAGAAAAGGCAGGAACAUAUGUAAGGCCUUGGGGACAGAGAAAAGAUGAAGUGUUUCGGGGGCUGGUAAGUAUUUUGCUGUGUAGGAAUGGAAAGGGCCUUGAGUUAGGCUGAAGGUGCGUGGAACCCGGGGGCAAUAGGGAGCCAUGAAAUGUUUCUGAGCCAGAGAGCGAUGUGAUCAGAACCCGUUAGAGAAGGGAACUUUGUGUCUUCGGGAAGCCUCCUGGAGAGGCCCGGGGAGGGGAAUCUGGGGCCUAGGGCACCGUAGGAACCCCUUGCUAUGCUUCAUUCCACUGGGACUUGUUUGGGUCAGAGCCAGACUCCUGGGACUGGCGGC
rnacentral:lncRNA from 1 species